GUGGGGAAUUUUGGACAAUGGGGGCAACCCUGAUCCAGCCAUGCCGCGUGCGGGAAGAAGGCCUUCGGGUUGUAAACCGCUUUUGUCAGGGAAGAAAUCCUUUGGGUUAAUACCUCGGAGGGAUGACGGUACCUGAAGAAUAAGCACCGGCUAACUACGUGCCAGCAGCCGCGGUAAUACGUAGGGUGCGAGCGUUAAUCGGAAUUACUGGGCGUAAAGCGUGCGCAGGCGGUUUUGUAAGAUCGAUGUGAAAUCCCCGGGCUCAACCUGGGAACUGCAUUGGUGACUGCCAGGCUGGAGUGCGGCAGAGGGGGAUGGAAUUCCGCGUGUAGCAGUGAAAUGCGUAGAUAUGCGGAGGAACACCGAUGGCGAAGGCAAUCCCCUGGGCCUGCACUGACGCUCAUGCACGAAAGCGUGGGGAGCAAACAGGAUUAGAUACCCGGGUAGUCC
rnacentral:rRNA from 1 species